UAGUCGAACGACCAGAACUAUGUCUGGAAGUGGCACACUGCUCAGUAACACGUAGCUAACCUACCUUUAGGACGUGGAUACCCCCGAGAAAUUGGGGUUAAUCCGCGAUAGAUGUAAUGUCCUGGAAUGGUAUUACGUCUAAAGGUAUUUCAUACAUGUUUGAAAUAUGCCUAAGGAUGGGGCUGCGGCCGAUCAGGCUGUUGGUGAGGUAAUGGCUCACCAAACCUUUGACCGGUACGGGCCAUGAGAGUGGUAGCCCGGAGAUGGACACUGAGACAAGGGUCCAGGCCCUAAGGGGCGCAGCAACCGCGAAACCUCCACAAUGCACUCACGUGCGAUGGGGCUAUCUCGAGUGCCACCUGAUGAAGGUGGCUUUUCCUUGGUCUUCAAAGCCUUGGGAAUAAGAGGGGGGCAAGACUGGUGUCAGCCGCCGCGGUAACACCAGCCCCUCGAGUGGUGGGGAUGAUUAUUUGGCCUAAAGCGUCCGUAGCCGGCCGAGCAAGUCUUCCGUUAAAUCCAGCGUCUCAAGCGUUGGACCGCGGGAGAUACUACACGGCUAGAGAGUGGGAGAGGUCAGCGGUAUUCUGGGGGUAGGGGCGAAAUCCUUUGAUCCCCGGAGGACCACCAGUGGCGAAGGCUGCUGACUAGAACACGUCUGACGGUCAGGGACGAAAGCUGGGGUAGCGAACCGGAUUAGAUACCCGGGUAGUCCCAGCCGUAAACGAUACAUGCUAGGUGUUGGGUUGGCCACGAGCCACCCCAGUGCCGCAGGGAAGCCGUUAAGCAUGCCGCCUGGGAAGUACGAUCGCAAGAUUGAAACUUAAAGGAAUUGGCGGGGGAGCACCACCAGGCGUGAAGC
rnacentral:rRNA from 1 species